GUGAAUCAUCAAAUUUUUGAACGCAAAUUGCACUCUCCUCGGAGAGUAUGCCUGUUUGAGGGUCAGCCUAUAAAAAAUCGACAUCGUUGCUGUUUCGCGGUAACGUUCGUCGGAAAUUGGGUCAUCUUAAACUUUUUGUUUUAAGCGACUUAAAAAUUUCUUUUUGAUUUUACGUACGUUUAUAUGAUUUAUUUCUUUACACGUUUAAGGUAUCGAUUUAUUAGACGUGGCCGUUAUAUCGGAUCGCGUCCAUAAUCUUUCAUUAACUGACCUCAGUCAGGUAAGAGUACCCGCUGAACUU
rnacentral:misc_RNA from 1 species